ensembl:misc_RNA Metazoa_SRP Metazoan signal recognition particle RNA
GCCGGGCAUGGUGGCUCACGCCUGUAAUCCCAGCACUUUGGGAGGCCGAGGCGGGCGGAUCACCAGCGGCCAGGAGUUUGAGACCCACCUGACCAAUAUGGUGAAACCCCGUCUCUU